rnacentral:rRNA from 1 species
CAGCCGCCGCGGUAAUACGAAGGGGGCUAGCGUUGCUCGGAAUGACUGGGCGUAAAGGGCGCGUAGGCGGCGGCCAAAGUCAGGCGUGAAAUUCCUGGGCUCAACCUGGGGGCUGCGCUUGAUACUUGGUUGCUUGAGUGGGGAAGAGGGUCGUGGAAUUCCCAGUGUAGAGGUGAAAUUCGUAGAUAUUGGGAAGAACACCGGUGGCGAAGGCGGCGACCUGGUCCUUUACUGACGCUGAGGCGCGAAAGCGUGGGGAGCAAACAGGAUUAGAUACCCCCGUAGUCCCUGUCUCUUAUAC